rnacentral:rRNA from 1 species
UACGGAGGGGGCCAGCGUUGUUCGGAAUCAUUGGGCGUAAAGGGCGCGUAGGCGGCUUCAUAAGUCGGCUGUGAAAUCCCUCGGCUCAACCGAGGAACUGCGGCCGAAACUGCGAGGCUUGAGUCCCGGAGAGGGUAGCGGAAUUCCCAGUGUAGCGGUGAAAUGCGUAGAUAUUGGGAGGAACAUCGGUGGCGAAGGCGGCUACCUGGACGGGUACUGACGCUGAAGCGCGAAAGCUAGGGGAGCAAACAGG